AGAAAUCGGGAUUAAUACUCCAUAACACUGCGAAGUGGCAUCACUAAGCAGUUAAAACUCCGGUGGUUAAAGAUGGGCAUGCGUGACAUUAGUUAGUUGGUGAGGUAACGGCUCACCAAGACGACGAUGUCUAGGGGUUCUGAGAGGAUGACCCCCCACACUGGUACUGAGACACGGACCAGACUCCUACGGGAGGCAGCAGUAAGGAAUAUUGGUCAAUGGGCGAAAGCCUGAACCAGCCAUGCCGCGUGCAGGAAGACAGCCUUAUGGGUUGUAAACUGCUUUUAUACAGGAAUAAACCCCCUUUCGUGAAAGGGGCUGAAGGUACUGUAAGAAUAAGGACCGGCUAACUCCGUGCCAGCAGCCGCGGUAAUACGGAGGGUCCGAGCGUUAUCCGGAUUUAUUGGGUUUAAAGGGUGCGUAGGCGGACCUAUUAGUCAGUGGUGAAAUCCCGGGGCUCAACUCCGGAACUGCCAUUGAUACUGUAGGUCUUGAGUUUGGUUGAAGUGGGCGGAAUGUAGCAUGUAGCGGUGAAAUGCAUAGAUAUGCUACAGAACACCGAUCGCGAAGGCAGCUCACUAAACCAAAACUGACGCUCAGGCACGAAAGCGUGGGUAGCGAACAGGAUUAGAUACCCUGGUAGUCCACGCCGUAAACGAUGA
rnacentral:rRNA from 1 species